ACGAACGCUGGCGGCGUGCUUCACACCUGCAAGUCGAACGGUGAAGGGACCGGUUUUUGCUGGUUCUGGAUGCGUGGCGAACGGGUGAGUAACACGUGAGUAACCUGCCCCCUUCUUCUGGAUAACCGCAUGCAAGUGUGGCUAAUACGGGAUAUUCUGCGCCUGCUGCAUGGUGGGUGUGGGAGAGAUAUUGUUUCGGUGGGGGAUGGGCGCGGGGCCUAUCAGCGUGUUGGUGGGGUGAUGGCCUCCCAUGGCGGGGGCGGGUAGCCGGCCUGGGAGGGUAGACGGUCACACUGGGACUGCGGCACGGCCGGGACUGCGACGGGGGGCAGCAGUGGGGAGUAGUGCGCAGUGGGGGAAAGCCUGAUGCGGCGGCGCCGCGUGAGGGGUGGAGGCGUGCGGGUUGUAAACCUCUUUCGCCAGUGAAGCAGGCCUGGCACGUUUGUGGGUGGGGUGACGGUAGCUGGAUAAGAAGCGCCGGCUAACUACGUG
rnacentral:rRNA from 1 species